GUUGAAGCACGGGUUCACGUACAAUCACCGAAGUUAAGCAAUGUUGAUCCUGGUCACUACCUGGAUGGGUGAUCGCUUGAAAAUACCGGGUACUGUAA